rnacentral:snRNA from 2 species
GGCAAUGUGUUUGUUAUACCCAUUAUCUCAGUGAUCAGCAGAGUUGACUCAGCUGAUCUGACAGGUAGGGAGGUGUACCCUUCCUCC